AGUGCCUGGGUCAGGGUCACAGGUCCCACUCAUGAUAAAGCUCAACCUGGACACAUGGCUCUCAGCUCCUAGUCCCAUCUUUCUCCUGAACCAUUUUCCUGAAAUACUGUCACACAUCACAGCCCAGAAGACUGGCUGAGGUCAUGCUCGAGGGUGAAGCCAGUAGAUGCCUUUGGUCUUAUCUGUAUUCCCCAAUCAGCUUGUCUUUCCAUAGGACCUAGAGAAAUGUGGGUGUGAGGGCUGUCCAGUUCUUUGACAGGGCAGAACCAGCUGUCUUUUUAAAAGAUGGACAUUUAAUGGCUAUUGCCUGGGCUAGAGUCAUAUAACUGAUGGUUAGUUUUUUAAGGUGAUCCAUCUCAGUUUUCUCAGCCUUACUGGUGCUUGAUUUGGAAAAACCACAGUGAGGGUACCCUUUUAUGGAAGACAGAUAAUAUAUGCCCCUUGCUAGUUUUUAGAAGUAGGAAGGGCCAUUGUAGGACUGGGGACUCCUCUGCUAUCCUGACUCAGUGGGGGAUGCCACCUUGCCUUAGCUGAUGGAAUGCUUUUUUCUCAGCUACCAUGGCCUUGCAAGGUGUCCAGGCAUUCUUCCUGUCUUGGGCAGGGGAGUUGGAAGCACAGUGAAUCUUACAAAUAUCUUGGGAUGUCACUGGAGGGUAUCCACAUGGAAUGGGUUAACUGGAAGGGGGCCUGGAGAGAGUCUCAAAGCAGAGAUGUAGUCACUUAAUCUGGACAAUUAAUGAGUGUUGAUUUGAUUGUGGAUGAUGCAUGACAACUCAGGGGUCAACUGUUUGGUGCUGGUUUGGCUUUCCUGCAUCUCCAAGAUACUGUUAGGAAAUCAGGGUUCUUAUCCUCUUUUGAAUUAUUAACCCCUUUGUUUGUCAAAGCCUGUAGAGCCCCUAAAAUAGUAUUGUUUUCAGUACUUUACUGAGGUAAAUUCACAUAUAGU